CUCUGGUAUUGAUUGGUGCUUGCAUCAUGAUUUACAUUUGAGUGAGUGGCGAACUGGUGAGUAACACGUGGGAAACCUGCCCAGAAGCGGGGGAUAACACCUGGAAACAGAUGCUAAUACCGCAUAACAACUUGGACCGCAGGGUCCGAGUUUGAAAGAUGGCUUCGGCUAUCACUUUUGGAUGGUCCCGCGGCGUAUUAGCUAGAUGGUGAGGUAACGGCUCACCAUGGCAAUGAUACGUAGCCGACCUGAGAGGGUAAUCGGCCACAUUGGGACUGAGACACGGCCCAAACUCCUACGGGAGGCAGCAGUAGGGAAUCUUCCACAAUGGACGAAAGUCUGAUGGAGCAACGCCGCGUGAGUGAAGAAGGGUUUCGGCUCGUAAAACUCUGUUGUUAAAGAAGAACAUAUCUGAGAGUAACUGUUCAGGUAUUGACGGUAUUUAACCAGAAAGCCACGGCUAACUACGUGCCAGCAGCCGCGGUAAUACGUAGGUGGCAAGCGUUGUCCGGAUUUAUUGGGCGUAAAGCGAGCGCAGGCGGUUUUUUAAGUCUGAUGUGAAAGCCUUCGGCUCAACCGAAGAAGUGCAUCGGAAACUGGGAAACUUGAGUGCAGAAGAGGACAGUGGAACUCCAUGUGUAGCGGUGAAAUGCGUAGAUAUAUGGAAGAACACCAGUGGCGAAGGCGGCUGUCUGGUCUGUAACUGACGCUGAGGCUCGAAAGUAUGGGUAGCAAACAGGAUUAGAUACCCUGGUAGUCCAUACCGUAAACGAUGAAUGCUAAGUGUUGGAGGGUUUCCGCCCUUCAGUGCUGCAGCUAACGCAUUAAGCAUUCCGCCUGGGGAGUACGGCCGCAAGGCUGAAACUCAAAGGAAUUGACGGGGGCCCGCACAAGCGGUGGAGCAUGUGGUUUAAUUCGAAGCUACGCGAAGAACCUUACCAGGUCUUGACAUACUAUGCAAAUCUAAGAGAUUAGACGUUCCCUUCGGGGACAUGGAUACAGGUGGUGCAUGGUUGUCGUCAGCUCGUGUCGUGAGAUGUUGGGUUAAGUCCCGCAACGAGCGCAACCCUUAUUAUCAGUUGCCAGCAUUAAGUUGGGCACUCUGGUGAGACUGCCGGUGACAAACCGGAGGAAGGUGGGGAUGACGUCAAAUCAUCAUGCCCCUUAUGACCUGGGCUACACACGUGCUACAAUGGAUGGUACAACGAGUUGCGAACUCGCGAGAGUAAGCUAAUCUCUUAAAGCCAUUCUCAGUUCGGAUUGUAGGCUGCAACUCGCCUACAUGAAGUCGGAAUCGCUAGUAAUCGCGGAUCAGCAUGCCGCGGUGAAUACGUUCCCGGGCCUUGUACACACCGCCCGUCACACCAUGAGAGUUUGUAAC
rnacentral:rRNA from 1 species